rnacentral:rRNA from 1 species
ACGUUAGCGGCGGACGGGUGAGUAACACGUGGGUAACCUACCUAUAAGACUGGGAUAACUUCGGGAAACCGGAGCUAAUACCGGAUAAUAUUUCGAACCGCAUGGUUCGAUAGUGAAAGAUGGUUUUGCUAUCACUUAUAGAUGGACCCGCGCCGUAUUAGCUAGUUGGUAAGGUAACGGCUUACCAAGGCGACGAUACGUAGCCGACCUCGAGAGGGUGAUCGGCCACACUGGAACUGAGACACGGUCCAGACUCCUACGGGAGGGCAGCAGCA